CAGACCAGCAGGGCAGUGGCAAAGACGUGGGGGCGCUGCUGCUCACACACUGCCGUGGCCAGUGGUGGGUGGCCUGGUGGCUGGGCUGGGGGCUGCCGUGCAUUUCACAAUGGAAGUGUCUCUAAAAGCCUGGGGACCUUGGUCUGAUGGGUAAUUAGCUGUGAAUAAGUGUUCGGAAGAGGAGUUUUUGAAAGUUUGACAAAACCUUGGGGAAGAAACCCAUGGUAAUGAGGGCAAUGGAUGUCAGCAUAGCUGUGUUUUCUUUUAAUUAUAGCAGAGUCAGCGUGCAUUCUAAUAAACACAUUUGAAAAUCUGCCUUCCAAAAAAAGAAAAGCCUCACUGUGAGUAUAUAAAGAAGAUGUGAUUGAUUAUUGGACUUGUGUAAAAGAACUUCUAUUUGUCCAGUUACGUGGACUGCUUUCGGAGUGGGCAGCGACUCCUCGGGACGGCACUGCGCUGCAGCAGCUCCGCACCCUGGCCAGGUAUACCUCCACAGGAAGUUAGUAUACUCACACAGAAGAUAAUUCUUUGGAAGAAAAGGCCAACUGUAGAAUCUGCUAGAAACACAGUAAUGAUAAUUCUCCACAGAAGCACAAGGAGGUCCUUCCCAAAAUACAAAUAUUCAAGAAGAAACGUGACCACCUGGAAUAGUAACAGUUGAAAUAAUGAAAAGGUCAAUGACAUUGAUAAUAUUUCAGUAAAUAAUAAUAAUCUUUAGAAACCAUCAACCUCCUCCAAGAGGAAACCACACCCCUCAGAUAUCACCAGGGGAUUCCACUGUUUCAAAACAGAUUGGAAGUUANNNNNNNNNNUAUGCCUGUUCUAUGCUUUUCCUCUCCUGUUAAGCUGUCUGUUGUUAGCUCAUUUCUGCAAUGAACCAUUAGAGAGGACAGUGAAAGCUUUCCUUCCAGCCAUACAACAGAAUUAUAAAGCAGAAAAGUUUAGACGGAAUUUCCUAUUUAAGUGCCAAAAUUUCAUACUCCACUUCUGAUAAAGACCAUAAAGUUUUAAAAAAACUUAUUUUUGACCCAAAGCAACAAACAUCAACCUGUUUAAUUUUCAUAAUGUAAAUGGCGGAUAUUUUUAUAAUUCUUACGCUAAUAAAUGACUUCCCUGAUGUUUUUGGUAAAACAGAUAAUUCAUAAUAAAAUCCAGAACCAUGAAUUGUUUGAAAUAAUUUCUUCUUUUGAUUAGAAGUAUACCUCCACAGGAAGUUAGUAUACUCACACAGAAGAUAAUUCUUUGGAAGAAAAGGCCAACUGUAGAAUCUGCUAGAAACACAGUAAUGAUAAUUCUCCACAGAAGCACAAGGAGGUCCUUCCCAAAAUACAAAUAUUCAAGAAGAAACGUGACCACCUGGAAUAGUAACAGUUGAAAUAAUGAAAAGGUCAAUGACAUUGAUAAUAUUUCAGUAAAUAAUAAUAAUCUUUAGAAACCAUCAACCUCCUCCAAGAGGAAACCACACCCCUCAGAUAUCACCAGGGGAUUCCACUGUUUCAAAACAGAUUGGAAGUUA
rnacentral:lncRNA from 1 species